rnacentral:rRNA from 1 species
GAUGAACGCUAGCGGCAGGCUUAACACAUGCAAGUCGAGGGGCAGCGGGAUGUAGCAAUACAUUGCCGGCGACCGGCGCAAGGGUGCGUAACGCGUGAGCAACAUGCCCGUCACAGGAGGAUAAACCAUGGAAACGUGGCCUAAUACUCCAUAGUAUAUUUUAGAGGCAUCUCUUUGAUAUUAAAGCUACGGUGGUGACGGAUUGGCUCGCGUGACAUUAGCUAGAUGGAGAGGUAAAGGCUCACCAUGGCGACGAUGUCUAGGGGAACUGAGAGGUAAAUCCCCCACAAAGGUACUGGGAUGCGGACCAGAGUCCUACGGGAGGGAGCAGUGAGGAAUAUUGGACAAUGGAUGGAAAUCUGAUCCAGCCAUGCCGCGUGCAGGAUGACGGCCCUAUGGGUCUUAAACUGCUUUUGUAUGGGAGCAAUAAGUCUUACGUGUAGGAUGAUGAGAGUACCAUACGAAUAAGCAUCGGCUAACUCCGUGCCAGCAGCCGCGGUAACAC